UACGUAGGGUGCAAGCGUUACUCGGAAUUACUGGGCGUAAAGGGUGCGUAGGUGGUUUGUUAAGUCUGCUGUGAAAUCCCCGGGCUCAACCUGGGAAUGGCAGUGGAUACUGGCAAGCUAGAGUGCGGUAGAGGGUAGUGGAAUUCCCGGUGUAGCAGUGAAAUGCGUAGAGAUCGGGAGGAACACCAGUGGCGAAGGCGGCUACCUGGACCAGCACUGACACUGAAGCACGAAAGCGUGGGGAGCAAACAGGG
rnacentral:rRNA from 1 species